rnacentral:rRNA from 1 species
GUCAAAGCGUUCAUUAAAGUCGAGUUGGCUUAGGGAUACGUUCGUUGGGUAGGGGAGCGUUCUGUAAGCCUGUGAAGGUGUGUCGUGAGGCAUGCUGGAGGUAUCAGAAGUGCGAAUGCUGACAUAAGUAACGAUAAAGCGGGUGAAAAGCCCGCUCGCCGGAAGACCAAGGGUUCCUGUCCAACGUUAAUCGGGGCAGGGUGAGUCGACCCCUAAGGCGAGGCCGAAAGGCGUAGUCGAUGGGAAACGGGUUAAUAUUCCCGUACUUGGUGUUACUGCGAAGGGGGGACGGAGAAGGCUAUGUUGGCCGGGCGACGGUUGUCCCGGUUUAAGCGUGUAGGUGUGUGUUCCAGGUAAAUCCGGUUCACUUUAAC